rnacentral:misc_RNA from 1 species
AGAGCUAAAGAAAACUGAAUUAGAAAGAAAAUUUUCCUCCUGUGGUUAGCAACAUGAAGUGAUUCUGCAGCAUGUAGUUGAGUGAUUUCCAGGUUUAUAUCCUUUUCAUUUAGGAAGUUCUUUUAGUUUUCGUCAUCGAUAUUGGCUUACCCUGCAUCAUUUGUUUGCAUAUGUGCUGCAGAGAUGGCAUUUACAUUAAAAUACUACGAAAAGUAGAUUGAUUAGAUUUCUCCUCUGAGGAAGUUUUGGUAAUCUAUUUUGCUAAAUUGGUUCAUUUUCUCCCCCCUAUCCUGCUUUGUCCAGUCUGCUUCUCAUUUCCCAUUAUAGCUCUCUCAUUAUGUGAUAAAUUUACAUUGUAAGCUCAAAUGACCAAAAAAUGUCUUUUUGUUUUCAAUGUUGAUAAUGCAAACUAUUAUUCUUUAGAAACCUUUUAAUUUGUAAAAGUAGUGAUUUUAUUUAUCAACCACUAUAUAUAUAUAUAU